AGUCAGCGAGUGCAUGCAUUUUGGCAACCCUAGGCCUCCCGCCCUGUGGCCCCCUUGGGGUGUGCGCCCUCACUCCCCAGCUGGCUGGGGGGAGGCUGCUGUGUGUGGACCAGCUGAGUCAGGCCCUCACCCUGGGCCACGGGCCACCGUGGCUGUCGCUGAUCUUGCUGACGGGGCUGAAAAUGCAUCGCACCUCCCUCUGCAGCCCGCCAUUACUCAUGGUUGGCGUUUAUCCCCAAGCAAGGGAUGACCCCGCGGAGCAGCCCGGAGCCUCCCACGUGUUCUGAGGCAGGGGUGGCCGGAGGCUGGACUCCGAGGCGGCACAGCAGGACUUGUGAGCAGCUGCUCUGAGUGCCGUGACCAUAUUUUUCUGAGCUGAGAAAUGAGGACACAGGAUGUAGUGGAGGGCUUUCUCAGAUUUGUCUCAUCAGAGGUAUGAAAGUUAAAGCUUAUUUAGCUAUGUAGAUAAGGGAGUGUCUUUGCUGAAAAGAACCCGGGUUUCCCAAAUCAGGGAGAUUCGGGAAAUUAAUAAGUCAAUUGGACUAAUCUUUUGGGGGCACCUGGGUCAAGCCUGUCCUUGGUGUUGGCACUACAGCAAGGAGCAAAAACAGGCAUGAUCCUGGCCUCGUGGAACUCGUGUGGGGUGGCUGAGAGUCUGCAAAUGCUCGCACGGUUCAGUACCGUGAGCACAUGUGAGAAUUGCUAUGGGGGGGGGGCGGCAAGGGUUCCCGAGUGGAGGAGCUUGGGGUGUCCUGGAAGGCUUCUCUGAAGAAUUAAUGUUUGAGGGGAAACAGAGCCUCUUAAGGUGAACUGUUGAAGGGAUGGGAGUGGAGUGGGGUGGGGAAAGCACAUUUCAGGCAGGAAGGAGGGCAUGUGCAAAGGGCCUGUGGCAGAAAGGAGUGCUGGGAGUCUGAGGGACAAGAGGGCAGCCCAGUGACUGGGAUGUGAUGAGCGAUGGGAAGAGGAAGUUGGAGGUGUCGGCAGGGGCCAGGCCGGGCCACGCCCACCAGUCCACGAGUGUGGGGUACGUUCUCCUGCUGGUCGCGGGCAGCCAUGGACGGUUUGACACAGCGAUCAUCGGAGACAGGAAAAUCGAAAGCGCAUGAGAUACCGCUCCACAGAAAAUAACAAGUGCUGGUGAGGAUGUGGA